rnacentral:rRNA from 1 species
CGCCCAGACUCCUACGGGAGGCAGCAGUGGGGAAUAUUGCACAAUGGGCGCAAGCCUGAUGCAGCCAUGCCGCGUGUAUGAAGAAGGCCUUCGGGUUGUAAAGUACUUUCAGCGGGGAGGAAGGGGUUAAGGUUAAUAACCUUAGCCAUUGACGUUACCCGCAGAAGAAGCACCGGCUAACUCCGUGCCAGCAGCCGCGGUAAUACGGAGGGUGCAAGCGUUAAUCGGAAUUACUGGGCGUAAAGCGCACGCAGGCGGUCUGUCAAGUCGGAUGUGAAAUCCCCGGGCUCAACCUGGGAACUGCAUUCGAAACUGGCAGGCUGGAGUCUUGUAGAGGGGGGUAGAAUUCCAGGUGUAGCGGUGAAAUGCGUAGAGAUCUGGAGGAAUACCGGUGGCGAAGGCGGCCCCCUGGACAAAGACUGACGCUCAGGUGCGAAAGCGUGGGGAGCAAACAGGAUUAGAUACCCGAGUAAA